rnacentral:rRNA from 1 species
AGCGGCGGUACGGGUGAGUAAUGCCUGGGGGAUCUGCCCAGUCGAGGGGGAUAACAGUUGGAAACGACUGCUAAUACCGCAUACGCCCUACGGGGGAAAGGAGGGGACCUUCGGGCCUUUCGCGAUUGGAUGAACCCAGGUGGGAUUAGCUAGUUGGUGGGGUAAUGGCUCACCAAGGCGACGAUCCCUAGCUGGUCUGAGAGGAUGAUCAGCCACACUGGAACUGAGACACGGUCCAGACUCCUACGGGAGGCAGCAGUGGGGAAUAUUGCACAAUGGGGGAAACCCUGAUGCAGCCAUGCCGCGUGUGUGAAGAAUGCCUUCGGGUUGUACAGCACUUUCAGCGAGGA